UUAGGGUUUGAUCCUGGCUCAGAAACAACGCUGGCGGCGCGCUUAACACAUGCAAGUCGAACAGAAACUGGAGCAAUCCAUGAGUAAAGUUGCGCACGGGUGAGUAACACGUGGGUAAUCUGCCUCUGGGUGGGGAAUCACUCUGGGAAACCGGAGCUAGUACCGUAUGAGCCCCCAUUGAAUAAAUGGACGGGAAAGGUGAAAAUCGCCGAGAGAGGAGCCCGCGGCCGAUUAGCUACUUGGUGAGGUAAAGGCUCACCAAGGCUGUGAUCGAUAGCCGGCCCGAGAGGGCACACGGCCACACAGGCACUGAAUCACGGGCCAGACUCCUAUGGGAGGCAGCAGUGGGGACAUCUUGCCCACUGGGGGUAACCCUGAUACAGGACGCCGCGUGAGCGAAGAAGCCCUCCGGGUUGCAACCUCUUCCAGCAGGGACGAUAAUGACGGUACCUGCAGAAGUAGCUGCGGCUAACUACGUACCAGCAGCCGCGGUAAUACGUAGGCAGCGAGCGUUGCUCGGAUUUACUGGUCGUGAAGAGUGCGUAUGCGUCGGCCCAAGUCUGGUGCGAAAUAUCCCGGCUCAACCGCGAGGGUGCGCCGAAAACUGGCUGCUUCAGUACUGGAGAGGCAAGCGGAAUUCCUGGUGUAGCGGUGAAAUGCGUAGAUAUCAGGAGGAACACCCGUGGUGUAGACGGCUUGCUGGACAGUCACUGACGCUGAGGCACGAAAGCGUGGGGAGCAAGCAGGAUUAGAUGCCCUGGCAGUCCGCGCCCUGGC
rnacentral:rRNA from 1 species